rnacentral:rRNA from 1 species
AGGACUAACGCUGGCGGCGUGCUUAACACAUGCAAGUCGAACGAGGUAGCAAUACCUAGUGGCAGACGGGUGAGUAACGCGUAGGUAACGUGCCCUCUUGCGGGGGAUACCGUUCCGAAAGGAACGUUAAUACCGCAUAACAUAUCGUUGUGGCAUCACAAUGAUAUCAAACUUCAGGGGUGAGAGGAGCGACCUGCGUUCUAUCAGCUAGUUGGUGAGGUAGUGGCUCACCAAGGCUACGACGGAUAACUGGUCUGAGAGGAUGAUCAGUCACACUGGAACUGAGACACGGUCCAGACUCCUACGGGAGGCAGCAGUGAGGAAUAUUGCGCAAUGGGGGAAACCCUGACGCAGCGACGCCGCGUGGAGGAUGAAGGCCUUCGGGUUGUAAACUCCUGUCAGUAGGGAAGAGAACGGACGGUACCUACUGAGGAAGCUUCGGCUAACUACGUGCCAGCAGCCGCGGUAA